rnacentral:rRNA from 1 species
AACGAACGCUGGCGGCAGGCCUAACACAUGCAAGUCGAGCGCCCCUUUCGGGGGAGCGGCGGACGGGUGAGUAACGCGUGGGAACGUGCCCUUUGGUUCGGAAUAGCCCUGGGAAACUGGGGGUAAUACCGGAUACGCCCCGGACUUGAUCCGGGGGAAAGAUUUAUUGCCGAAGGAUCGGCCCACGUUGGAUUAGGUAGUUGGUGGGGUAAUGGCCUACCAAGCCUUCGAUCCAUAGCUGGUUUGAGAGGAUGAUCAGCCACACUGGGACUGAGACACGGCCCAGACUCCUACGGGAGGCAGCGGUGGGGAAUCUUAGACAAUGGGCGCAAGCCUGAUCUAGCCAUGCCGCGUGAGCGAAGAAGGCCUUAGGGUUGUAAAGCUCUUUCAGGGGGGAAGAUAAUGACGGUACCCCCAGAAGAAGCCCCGGCUAACUCCGUGCCAGCCGCCGCGGUAA